rnacentral:rRNA from 1 species
UAGGGAAUCUUGCCACAAUGGACGCAAGUCUGAUGGAGCAACGCCGCGUGAGUGAAGAAGGCUUUCGGGUCGUAAAACUCUGUUAUUGAAGAAGAACGUGCGUGACAGUAACUGGUCAUGCAGUGACGGUAUUCAAUCAGAAAGUCACGGCUAACUACGUGCCAGCAGCCGCGGUAAUACGUAGUGGCAAGCGUUGUCCGGAUUUAUUGGGCGUAAAGCGAGUGCAGGCGGUCUUUUAAGUCUGAUGUGAAAGCCUUCGGCUUAACCGA